rnacentral:rRNA from 1 species
UGCCAGCCGCCGCGGUAAUACGGAGGGGGCUAGCGUUGUUCGGAAUUACUGGGCGUAAAGCGCACGUAGGCGGAUUGUUAAGUCGGGGGUGAAAUCCCGGGGCUCAACCCCGGAACUGCCUCCGAUACUGGCAGUCUAGAGGUCGAGAGAGGUGAGUGGAAUUCCGAGUGUAGAGGUGAAAUUCGUAGAUAUUCGGUGGAACACCAGUGGCGAAGGCGGCUAACUGGACUGAUACUGACGCUGAGGUGCGAAAGUGUGGGGAGCAAACAGGAUUAGAUA